GCCAGUGUAGCUUAAACAAAGCAUGACACUGAAGAUGUCAAGAU
rnacentral:tRNA from 1 species